rnacentral:rRNA from 1 species
CCCUUAGAUGUUCUGGGCUGCACGCGCGCUACACUGACGCACGCAACAGGUGCCUGCUCCGAGAGGACUGGGUAAUCAUUUGAGUGUGCGUCGUGAUGGGGAUAGAAUAUUGUAAUUAUUACUCUUCAACGAGGAAUUCCUAGUAAGCGCCAGUCAGCAGCUUGCGCUGAUUACGUCCCUGCCCUUUGUACACACCGCCCGUCGCUCCUACCGAUGGGUGAUCCGGUGAAUGAUUCGGACUUCAGCGGCUCCCCUGGGGUGCGCCGGAGAAAGUUUUGUGAACCUGAUCACUGGGAGGAAGGAGAAGUCGUAACA